GUCGUCCGGGCCGGGUGGGCUGCGGCGCGCGGCAGGCGCUCUGGCCUGGCCUGGCCGCCGCUGAGCAGUCGGGGCCGGUGGGUGGCCUCGAACGCCGGGACAGACCGACAGACGGACUGGCCGGCAGUCCCGCGCCCCCGAGCGGAGCGGGCGGGACGGAAACGUCCGGGCAAGUUGGGGUCGGCAGGGUUGGAAGCCCAGCGAGGCUAGAGGCCAGUCCCAAAGUCUCCAGGCAUCAGGGCUGCAGCCCAGGAGCCUCAAGGCGGCCCGGCGGGCGACUGGACGGCCGGACAGGUGAGCUCUUGGUCGUCCGCGGCCUGAUAGUUUGCACUUGGCUCUCCCACCUUGGGGCUCCGUGGAUGCCACGUCAGAGGGGCUGUGUUUGUGUCUGAGCAUGCAUGCGAGUGGAGGGAAGUGGUGAGUAAUGCCGCGUCUCCCCUCUGAGUUCGGAACCCAUGGAGGAAGAAAGCAGAGGUGCCAGACAGGCCUCUGAUAGGCACCUGCAGGAUUGGGGCAGAGCGGCCGCAGCGCAGGAGCGCCGGCAAGCCUGGCCCUUCCCGGGAGGCCCGCUUUGUCCGGUUCCACCCUGGCCUGUUGCCUCACAUGCAACAAGUGUCUGAAUGUGGCUAUCUUCUGGCCGAGGGCAGCCCUGGGCGGUGAGUGGGAUGACACCCCAGCCUGCAGGGUGCCUGUAGGUCUCCACCCAGAUGGGCAGGAUUGGAGGUGGCCGCAGCGCUCUUGGGCUUUCCCUCAGCAGGUGUCUCCAUGCUGGCCUCCCCGCCUCAGGGCUUCAUCCCACUCCGUGGGCCUGAUCUCCCUGGGGCACCUGGGAUGUCCAUCUGCAUUAGCUGGAGCUACUCCAUGGCCUGUGGCAUGCCACACACAGCGGCAUUUCGGUGUCAUUAGGCAUAGCUGGAGGUGCAAGGAGGAGGGCAGCCUCAUGUCCAGUUCCAUGUAACUUGCUUCUUCUGAAUAAAGGCAAUUUGCUAACUUCCUCGCUAAAUAGGAUUUGGUUUCUAUGGCUUUUAAAGCUUCUCCAAUAAAAUACUUGUAAUAAGGGAACUCUCUCCUCCUACACUCUCCUGACUGAUGGUUCGGAAGUCCUCCUGCCCUCUGAGAGCUUGCAGUUUCUUGUGAAAAAGAGAAACUAAGCAGCAAUAGGACAGACCCGGUGUCUGCUUGCGUGGUUAAGACGGUAAAUGCUAAAUGUGUGACGCUGCCUUUAGAAACCAUUUUCUCCAGCCUGGCUUGCUGGCUGCCCGUCUGGUUUGCUGUGUUGUGUCUCCAGUGGCUUUAGCUUCCAACAGGAAAGCCUGGUAGCCGAGCGAAUCUGUGACCCAGGAAGUAGCAAUUAAAUGCCUGGGACGCUGCCUUGAGGCUGGUGUGUGCUCUGAGGUAAGUUCCGAUUUGCCAAAGCACAUCUGUCGAUCUGUCGCCCGAGUCUUCACACCCUGACUGCCUCCAUCAUUUUAAACAUCGGGAGCAGUUACCUGCGGCGGGGUUCAGAUGCCAGCCAGGGGCACAGCCUGUGAACUGUGGGUAGAUGGCAAAGUCUAGCAUUUCUGGCAAAGGAAAAAA
rnacentral:sRNA from 1 species